UGAGUAACGUAGCUAACGCGUGAAGUCAGCCGCCUGGGGAGUACGGUCGCAAGAUUAAAACUCAAAGGAAUUGACGGGGACCCGCACAAGCGGUGGAUGAUGUGGAUUAAUUCGAUGCAACGCGAAAAACCUUACCUACCCUUGACAUGUCACUAACGAAGUAGAGAUACAUUAGGUGCUCGUAAGAGAAAGUGAACACAGGUGCUGCAUGGCUGUCGUCAGCUCGUGUCGUGAGAUGUUGGGUUAAGUCCCGCAACGAGCGCAACCCUUGUCUUUAGUUGCUACGCAAGAGCACUCUAAAGAGACUGCCGGUGACAAACCGGAGGAAGGUGGGGAUGACGUCAAGUCCUCAUGGCCCUUAUGGGUAGGGCUUCACACGUCAUACAAUGGUGCAUACAGAGGGUUGCCAACCCAAGAGGGGGAGCUAAUCUCAGAAAAUGCAUCGUAGUCCGGAUCGUAGUCUGCAACUCGACUACGUGAAGCUGGAAUCGCUAGUAAUCGCGGAUCAGAAUGUCGCGGUGAAUACGUUCCCGGGUCUUGUACACACCGCCCGUCAUACCAUGGGAGUGGGUUUUGCCAGAAGCCGUUAGCCUAAC
rnacentral:rRNA from 1 species